AAACCAACAGGGAUUGCCUUAGUAACGGCGAGUGAAGCGGCAAAAGCUCAAAUUUGAAAUCGGCCUCCAGGUCGAGUUGUAAUUUGUAGAUUGUAUUUUAGGUGUUUGUCGAAAGUCUAUUGGAACAUAGUGCCGUAGAGGGUGAGAGCCCCGUAAGACAUUACCUAUUGUAAAAUACUUUCAAA
rnacentral:rRNA from 1 species